CCUUGUAGCUCAGUGGGAGAGCGCCUCGCUUACAACGAGGACGUCGGGAGUUCAAUUCUCUCCAAGGGCACGCCA
rnacentral:tRNA from 1 species